AACGAGCGCAACCCUUGUCCUUAGUUGCCAUCAGGUAAAGCUGGGAACUCUAAGGAGACUGCCGGUGACAAACCGGAGGAAGGUGGGGACGACGUCAAGUCAUCAUGGCCCUUACGACCUGGGCUACACACGUGCUACAAUGGCCAGUACAGAGGGCUGCAAUCCCGCGAGGGGGAGCGAAUCCCACAAAACUGGUCGUAGUCCGGAUCGCAGUCUGCAACUCGACUGCGUGAAGUUGGAAUCGCUAGUAAUCGUGAAUCAUAAUGUCACGGUGAAUACGUUCCCGGGCCUUGUACACAC
rnacentral:rRNA from 1 species